rnacentral:misc_RNA from 1 species
GUAGGUGAACCUGCGGAAGGAUCAUUAACACGUAUCCGAACGUAAAAAAAACCCUGUGCAUCUUCAUUGGUUGGUUUGCGAACGACUCUAGCGCCAGCCUGCUGACCUGGCACUCUAAGCAAUCAAUGUUCUGUCAGUGUACAUUGGUUGUAACGGGUGGCGGCUUCACCGAUCGUUAGAGGCCCACACGGCCGACGACUGGGUCAGCGAGCUGUCAGUGCUCCCCCCAAUAACCACUCAACAAGUACUU